AAGUCGUAACAAGGUUUCCGUAGGUGAACCUGCGGAAGGAUCAUUACCUAGAGUUGUAGGGUUACAACUUUCAACAACGGAUCUCUUGGUUCUG
rnacentral:misc_RNA from 1 species